UACGGGGGGGGCAAACGUUGUUCGGAAUUACUGGGCGUAAAGCGCGUGUAGGCGGCCCUGCAAGUCGGAUGUGAAAUCCCACGGCUCAACCGUGGAAGUGCAUUCGAAACUGCAGGGCUAGAGUCCUGGAGAGGAAGGUGGAAUGCUUGGUGUAGAGGUGAAAUUCGUAGAUAUCAAGCGGAACACCGGUGGCGAAGGCGGCCUUCUGGACAGUGACUGACGCUGAGACGCGAAAGCGUGGGGAGCAAACAGGG
rnacentral:rRNA from 1 species